GAGCACGGAAUCAGCCUAGAGCGUCAGGUUGCGGACCUGAAGGUCGUGGGUUCGAGUCCCGCCGGGCGCGCCA
rnacentral:tRNA from 1 species